rnacentral:lncRNA from 1 species
GUUUUAAUAUUGUUUAUACAGGAUUAUUCCUCUGCUGUUUGGAGGGAUUGAAUGUGGGUUAUUAUAAGAACGCUUGCCUUUUCCCUUUUUACAUUUUGUGUUCAUAUCUAAAAAAUGAGAGAUGGUUUUGUGUGUUUUCAGGCUCUGUUGCGAGGUUUAUUCUUCACAGAGGAGAGGAGUACUGCUCUUAAGAGGGGGUUUGAUGCAUCUUUACUUAUGAGUUAGUUUCUUUUUUUCUGUUGGUUGUAUGAGUUUGCAGUUUUGUUUAGUUUCUUUUCUUCUGUUGGUUGUAUGAGUUUGCAGUUUUGGGCUUAGAUUUGAGGUCAUCAUUGUUCAGGUCAGCAACUCUGUGUCUUUUGGCGAGCAGAUUUAAGCAGUGUUUGGUUUUGUAUGAUUGAUUUGCAAGGCAUUUUGUUGGGUAGUUGUACAUGGAAAGACAACAUUGGAGAUAUAAAAUAAAAAUUAUUUUGUUGUUCCAAUUACUAUGGUAUGUAUUAGAUUUAUGGUUUGAAACUUGUGAGGUUUAUUCUAUACCAUUGAUGUCAACCCUUAUUGUGAUCCGGCGCGUAAAUUGGCGGACAACAAGUAUAGGACCAUCGAUUUUCCGUUUGAGCCGGCGGAUGGAGAAGUGAACACAGGACCCUUUGAGUUUUUGACAGAGAGGGUGACAGAGAGGGUGAUGGAUUUGGAUGGUCUUUUCACAUCCAUAGCUGGCAUUAUUUUUGAAAAGCCUCGAAGAUUGAAAAGUAUUGUAAAGUGAUGUGCAAAUGCGAUGUGCUCUUCC